rnacentral:rRNA from 1 species
AUUGAACGCUGGCGGCAUGCCUUACACAUGCAAGUCGAACGGCAGCACGGGGCAACCUGGUGGCGAGUGGCGAACGGGUGAGUAAUGCAUCGGAACGUACCUUUCAGUGGGGGAUAACGUAGCGAAAGUUACGCUAAUACCGCAUAUUCUGUGAGCAGGAAAGCAGGGGAUCGCAAGACCUCGCGCUGAUUGAGCGGCCGAUGUCAGAUUAGCUAGUUGGUGAGGUAAAGGCUCACCAAGGCGACGAUCUGUAGCGGGUCUGAGAGGAUGAUCCGCCACACUGGAAGCGCGACACGGUCCAGACUCCUACGGGAGGCAGCGGUGGGGAAUUUUGGACAAUGGAGGCAACCCUGAUCCAACCAUGCCGCGUGAGUGAAGGAGGCCUUCGGGUUGUAAAGCUCUUUCGGCCGGGAAGAAAUCGCACGGGCUAAUACCCUGUGUGGAUGACGGUACCGGAAUAAGAAGCACCGGCUAACUACGUGCCAGCCGCCGCGGUAA